AAUGGCCGCAGUAUUUUAACUGUGCAAAGGUAGCAUAAUCAUUAGUCUUUUAAUUGAAGGCUUGUAUGAAUGGUUGAACGAGAUAUUAACUGUUUCAUAAAAAUUGAGUUAGAAUUUUAUUUUUUAGUUAAAAAGCUAAAAUUUUUUUAAAAGACGAGAAGACCCUAUAGAUCUUUAUAGUUUAUUUGUUGUAGUUAUUUAGAUUAUUUAAAUUAUAAUUAUGUGAACUAUUUUGUUGGGGUGACAUUAAAAUUUAAUAAACUUUUAAUUAAUUUUUACAUUUAUUCAUGAUUGAUUGAUCCAUUAUUAGUGAUUAUAAAAUUAAGUUACCUUAGGGAUAACAGCGUAAUUUUUUUGAAGAGUUCAUAUCGAUAAAAAAGAUUGCGACCUCGAUGUUGGAUUAAGAUAUAAUUAUGGGUGCAGCAAUUCAAUAAUUAAGUC
rnacentral:rRNA from 1 species